UACAGAGGGUGCAAGCGUUAAUCGGAAUUACUGGGCGUAAAGCGUGCGUAGACGGUUGCGUAAGUCAGAUGUGAAAGCCCCGGGCUCAACCUGGGAAUUGCAUUUGAGACUGCGUAGCUAGGGUGCGGAAGAGGGAAGCGGAAUUUCCGGUGCAGCGGUGAAAUGCGUAGAUAUCGGAAGGAACACCAGUGGCGAAGGCGGCAUCCUGGACCGGCAUGACGCUGAGGCGCGAAAGCCAGGGGAGCAAACGGG
rnacentral:rRNA from 1 species